GACGAACGCUGGCGGCGUGCCUAAUACAUGCAAGUCGAGCGGAAGUUGGAGAGCUUGCUCUUCAACUUUAGCGGCGGACGGGUGAGUAACACGUGGGCAACCUGCCCUGCAGAUCGGGAUAACUCCGGGAAACCGGUGCUAAUACCGAAUAGUUUUCGCCACCUCCUGGUGGCGUACGGAAAGACGGUUUCGGCUGUCACUGCAGGAUGGGCCCGCGGCGCAUUAGCUAGUUGGUGGGGUAACGGCCCACCAAGGCAACGAUGCGUAGCCGACCUGAGAGGGUGAUCGGCCACACUGGGACUGGGACACGGCCCAGACUCCUACGGGAGGCAGCAGUAGGGAAUCUUCCGCAAUGGACGAAAGUCUGACGGAGCAACGCCGCGUGAGUGACGAAGGUUUUCGGAUCGUAAAACUCUGUUGUGAGGGAAGAACAAGUACCAAUUAACUACUGGUACCUUGACGGUACCUCACCAGAAAGCCACGGCUAACUACGUGCCAGCAGCCGCGGUAA
rnacentral:rRNA from 1 species